GCACUUACUUUGGUAGCACAUAUACUGAAAUUGGACCCAUACAAAGAAGAUUAGCAUGUCCAAGAAUGACAGACAUGCAAAUACAUAAAGCACUCAUACUUUUU